GCCAGCCCGCUCAAGAAACUUAAAGGAAUUGAUGGGGCCCGCACAAGCGGUGGAGUAUGUGGUUUAAUUCGAUGCAACGCGAAGAACCUUACCUGGUCUUGACAUCCCGGAGACCCUUAGGAAACUAGGGGGUGCUUCCAUCUGGAAGAAUCUGGAGACAGGUGCUGCAUGGCUGUCGUCAGCUCGUGUCGUGAGAUGUUGGGUUAAGUCCCGCAACGAGCGCAACCCUUGCCUUUAGUUGCCAGCAGUUCGGCUGGGCACUCUAAAGGGACUGCCGGUGUUAAACCGGAGGAAGGUGGGGAUGACGUCAAGUCCUCAUGGCCUUUAUGACCAGGGCUACACACGUACUACAAUGGCCGAUACAAAGGGCAGCGACACUGCGAGGUGAAGCCAAUCCCGUAAAAUCGGUCUCAGUCCGGAUUGGAGUCUGCAACUCGACUCCAUGAAGUUGGAAUCGCUAGUAAUCGUGGAUCAGCAUGCCACGGUGAAUACGUUCCCGGGCCUU
rnacentral:rRNA from 1 species